rnacentral:rRNA from 1 species
AAUAUUGGACAAUGGGCGAAAGCCUGAUCCAGCCAUGCCGCGUGUGUGAAGAAGGUCUUCGGAUUGUAAAGCACUUUUAGUUGGGAGGAAGGGCAGUAAGCUAAUACCUUGCUGUUUUGACGGUACCGACAGAAUAAGCACCGGAUAACUUCCUGCCAGCAGCGGCGGUAAUACGAAGGGUGCAAGCGUUAAUCGGAAUUACUGGGCGUAAAGCGCGCGUAGGUGGUUUGUUAAGUUGGAAGUGAAAGCCCCGGGCUCAACCUGGGAACUGCUUUCAAAACUGGCAAGCUGGAGUAUGGCAGAGGGUGGUGGAAUUUCCUGUGUAGCGGUGAAAUGCGUAGAUAUAGGAAGGAACACCAGUGGCGAAGGCGACUACCUGGACUGAUACUGACACUGAGGUGCGAAAGCGUGGGGAGCAAACAGG